rnacentral:rRNA from 1 species
AGAGUUUGAUCCUGGCUCAGGACGAACGCUGGCGGCGUGCCUAAUACAUGCAAGUAGAACGCUGAAGAGAGGAGCUUGCUCUUCUUGGAUGAGUUGCGAACGGGUGAGUAACGCGUAGGUAACCUGCCUUGUAGCGGGGGAUAACUAUUGGAAACGAUAGCUAAUACCGCAUAACAAUGGAUGACACAUGUCAUUUAUUUGAAAGGGGCAAUUGCUCCACUACAAGAUGGACCUGCGUUGUAUUAGCUAGUAGGUGAGGUAACGGCUCACCUAGGCGACGAUACAUAGCCGACCUGAGAGGGUGAUCGGCCACACUGGGACUGAGACACGGCCCAGACUCCUACGGGAGGCAGCAGUAGGGAAUCUUCGGCAAUGGGGGCAACCCUGACCGAGCAACGCCGCGUGAGUGAAGAAGGUUUUCGGAUCGUAAAGCUCUGUUGUAAGUCAAGAACGAGUGUGAGAGUGGAAAGUUCACACUGUGACGGUAGCUUACCAGAAAGGGACGGCUAACUACGUGCCAGCAGCCGCGGUAAUACGUAGGUCCCGAGCGUUGUCCGGAUUUAUUGGGCGUAAAGCGAGCGCAGGCGGUUUGAUAAGUCUGAAGUUAAAGGCUGUGGCUCAACCAUAGUUCGCUUUGGAAACUGUCAAACUUGAGUGCAGAAGGGGAGAGUGGAAUUCCAUGUGUAGCGGUGAAAUGCGUAGAUAUAUGGAGGAACACCGGUGGCGAAAGCGGCUCUCUGGUCUGUAACUGACGCUGAGGCUCGAAAGCGUGGGGAGCGAACAGGAUUAGAUACCCUGGUAGUCCACGCCGUAAACGAUGAGUGCUAGGUGUUGGAUCCUUUCCGGGAUUCAGUGCCGCAGCUAACGCAUUAAGCACUCCGCCUGGGGAGUACGACCGCAAGGUUGAAACUCAAAGGAAUUGACGGGGGCCCGCACAAGCGGUGGAGCAUGUGGUUUAAUUCGAAGCAACGCGAAGAACCUUACCAGGUCUUGACAUCCCUCUGACCGCUCUAGAGAUAGAGUUUUCCUUCGGGACAGAGGUGACAGGUGGUGCAUGGUUGUCGUCAGCUCGUGUCGUGAGAUGUUGGGUUAAGUCCCGCAACGAGCGCAACCCCUAUUGUUAGUUGCCAUCAUUCAGUUGGGCACUCUAGCGAGACUGCCGGUAAUAAACCGGAGGAAGGUGGGGAUGACGUCAAAUCAUCAUGCCCCUUAUGACCUGGGCUACACACGUGCUACAAUGGUUGGUACAACGAGUUGCGAGUCGGUGACGGCAAGCUAAUCUCUUAAAGCCAAUCUCAGUUCGGAUUGUAGGCUGCAACUCGCCUACAUGAAGUCGGAAUCGCUAGUAAUCGCGGAUCAGCACGCCGCGGUGAAUACGUUCCCGGGCCUUGUACACACCGCCCGUCACACCACGAGAGUUUGUAACACCCGAAGUCGGUGAGGUAACCUUUUGGAGCCAGCCGCCUAAGGUGGGAUAGAUGAUUGGGGUGAAGUCGUAACAAGGUAGCCGUAUCGGAAGGGGCGGCUG